UCCCCAGAUGUUGUUGAACUACAACUCCCAUCACCCCUAGCUAGCAGGGAUGAUGGGAGUUGUAGUCCAACAACAUCUGGGGACC